GUAUAAGAGACAGGUGAAUCAUCGAAUCUUUGAACGCAAAUGGCGACAGUGCAAACUGUCAUGUUCGUUUCAGUGUAUUUGGUUACUAACAUCACAUAUUCAAAUGCGAUUGAAGUAAUUCUCUCGCCGAAUACGGGACAGCCUGGUUUGUGUCCUUUAAGCGAAGUAGUCACUAACAAGUGAUGUCGCAUUAAAUGGUCACUUGCCUACAAAGACUGCCCACUAAAACCAUAUCCUCAAUAUAAUACCUGAAAUGAGCAAGAUUACCCGCUGAACUUAAGCAUAUCAAUAAGCGGAGGA
rnacentral:misc_RNA from 1 species